UACGUAGGAGGCAAGCGUUGUUCGGAAUUACUGGGCGUAAAGCGCACGUAGGCGGAUAUUUAAGUCAGGGGUGAAAUCCCAGAGCUCAACUCUGGAACUGCCUUUGAUACUGGGUAUCUUGAGUAUGGAAGAGGUAAGUGGAAUUGCGAGUGUAGAGGUGAAAUUCGUAGAUAUUCGCAGGAACACCAGUGGCGAAGGCGGCUUACUGGUCCAUAACUGACGCUGAGGUGCGAAAAGCGUGGGGAGCAAACAGG
rnacentral:rRNA from 1 species